UACGUAGGGUGCGAGCGUUAAUCGGAAUUACUGGGCGUAAAGCGUGCGCAGGCGGUCUGUUAAGACCGAUGUGAAAUCCCCGGGCUUAACCUGGGAACUGCAUUGGUGACUGGCAGGCUUUGAGUGUGGCAGUGGGAGGUAGAAUUCCACGUGUAGCGUGAAAUGCGUAGAGAUGUGGAGGAAUACCGAUGGCGAAGGCAGCCUCCUGGGCCAACACUGACGCUCAUGCACGAAAGCGUGGGAGCAAACAGG
rnacentral:rRNA from 1 species